rnacentral:rRNA from 1 species
AUAGCGUAUAUUAAAGUUGUUGCAGUUAAAAAGCUCGUAGUUGAACUUCAGAUUUGGUUGGGCGGUCCGCUUAACAGCGUGUACUGUCUGGCUGGGUCUUACCUCUUGGUGAGCCAGCGUGCCCUUUAUUGGCGUGCGUUGGGGAACCAGGACUUUUACCUUGAGAAAAUUAGAGUGUUCAAAGCAGGCCUUGGCCUGAAUACAUUAGCAUGGAAUAAUAAAAUAGGACGUGCGGUUCUAUUUUGUUGGUUUCCAGAGUCGCCGUAAUGAUUAAUAGGGAUAGUUGGGGGCAUUGGUAUUGAGUCGCUAGAGGUGAAAUUCUUGGAUUGACUCAAGACCAACUACUG